rnacentral:rRNA from 1 species
CCUACGGGAAGCAGCAGUGGGGAAUAUUGCACAAUGGGGGAAACCCUGAUGCAGCGACGCCGCGUGAGUGAAGAAGUAUUUCGGCAUGUAAAGCUCUAUCAGCCGGGAAGAAAAUUACGGUUCCUGAUUCAGCCCCCCCGGCUAACUACGUGCCAGCAGCCGCGGUACUACGUAGGGGGCAAGCGUUAUCCGGAUUUACUGGGUGUAAAUGGAGCCUAGACGGUAGGACAAGUCUGGAGUGAAAUGCCGGGGCUUAAACCCGGAACUGCUUUCGAAACUGGGCGGCUAGAGUGCAGGAGAGGUAAGUGGAAUGCCUAGUGUAGCGGUGAAAUGCGUAGAUAUUAGGCAGAACACCAGUGGCGAAGGCGGCUUACUGGACUGUAACUGACGUUGAGGCUCGAAAGCGUGGGGAGCAAACAGGAUUAGAUACCCUGGUAGUC